UACGAGGGGAGCAAGCGUUGUUCGGAUUUACUGGGCGUAAAGGGCGCGUAGGCGGCGUGACAAGUCACUUGUGAAAUCUCCGGGCUUAACUCGGAACGGUCAAGUGAUACUGUCGUGCUAGAGUACAGAAGGGGCAACUGGAAUUCUCGGUGUAGCGGUGAAAUGCGUAGAUAUCGAGAGGAACACCAGAGGCGAAGGCGGCUACCUGGACAAUUGCUGACGCUCAGGCACGAAAGCGUGGGGAGCAAAAGGG
rnacentral:rRNA from 1 species